UAGCAUUUUAUGAAACCACAACCAGGAUUACAUAAAACCAGAAAUUAAGAUUGGUCCAAUGACAUAACCCUACAAAGAGUACAGAUAGCAGAAUAAUGGAUCCUCAAAGAUGUCUGAAUCCUAAUCCUUGAAACCUAUGGGCCUUAUCUAAUUACACAAGAUCUGAAAACUCAAGAUGGUUUCUACCUGCCAUUGCUGGCUUUGAAGAGGAUGAAGAUGGCUACAAACCAAGAAAUGAGGAGGCUUCUAAAAGCUAGGAUUGACCCAUCGAUCAUAGGUCACAGUAAAAGGGAAAACACUUAUGGAUAUGGAGAUGCCACAAAAUUAGAGUAUUUGGGAUCGAAACCAUCACCUCACCUGCCUGGACUCACAAUGAGCAAUACUCUGGGAUCUUUUGAUAUUUGUGGAUUACAUGUUACUGAAAGCCAAUUUACCUGAUUCUGAAAAAUACCAAUGCUUAUUUCGAGGUAAGACAUUUACCAAUUUUACAGAUAGAAGGUCUGUGUGAGUGUGUGUGUGUGUGUGUGUGUGUGUGUGCAUGUGUUCAAGUAUAAACAAAUUGGUUUAAGAACCAUGGAUGAGAAAAUUGAUACCAUCGUGUAAAUAGGAAGAGGUAAUAUAAACAGAGAUCACAGAUGAAAUUUUUCACUGAAGAUUUCUACACAAAGCCAAAGCUACUGAUGUCAGAAUUUCUCUCUUAUGGGACAUAUCUUUCCAUGAGCUUCAGGUUUCUGUAAAUAUAGCUUAUUGAAAUUACCAGUGGUCUUUACAUGCCCUAUGUUUCAAAAUCCUAACUCAUCACUUCUCUCCCAAAAGAUUCUAUAUUUUUAAAUCUUACUUGGUGGUCCGUACCUUUCUCAGUCACUUAGUCUACAAACCCAGAAGUAUGGAAAUUGAUUUCUUUUUCUCCUCUUACCUUUUCAUCCAGACACAAAUCUUACAGAUUUCAAUUCCUUAACAUAUUUCACUUGUUCCUCUCUAAUUUUACUGCUCCUGUGGUACUUCAUUAUCUCUUGCCUGGUCUAGCCAAUUAACUGGCCUUCUUUCAUCCAUUUAUUUUAACCUUUAACCAAGCCUCCACAAAAAUCCCCAGGGAGAUAUUUCUAACUUGCAAAUCCGCUCUUGUUAUUUCCACAUAUGAACUCUUCAGGAUAAUUUUUAGUGGAAUCUUAGUCCUGUGAGAUAUUCCUUGUAAAAAACUACCUUGAACAAAUGAGUUUAGGGAUAAUGUUUGGUAAUUUACAAAGCACACAGAUAUAUUAAAAACUCAAAGAAUGCCUGCUUAAUCUUGUUUGAUUUGUAUUUCUCAAAUUGACUUAACAAUGAACUCUUUGUAUUCCUUUAUAAGAUCUAUUAACACCUGCAGAUCUGCUUUUCCAGAUUGGCCCCAGGAUAAUGUCAAGCCUCUUAACAUGUGGUUCUAGCCCCUGUUUGCUUCUCUAGAAUCGUCACGGUCUUUAAUUUUAUGCUCUGGGAAUUAUAAAAUGCCUCUAAGCCUCUGCACCUAGUAAGUUAUUUUUCAUCUUCCUGCAUUUGUUUUUUAAAUUAUAUUUGGAAUGUUGUCCUCACCAAAAUAAGAUCUAGGGCUUUGCUGAUCAAUCUUUACACUUCAGAUCAGAUGCAAAUGACCCCUGGAAGCCUUCCUGAUACUUACCUAUUCCUAAUAUUGUGAUUUCUAUAAUAAAUUCUAAUUACCUAUUCACUUAUCUUUUUUUCUUAAGAAUAUCAACCUUUGAUAGCAAGGACCAUCUCUUCAUUCCUUGUGUUUUAGUGCCUUGGAGAUAUUUUGUGCACAAUAACUAUUUAUAUAAUUAAUGAAUGAACAAAUAAAUAUACAAAAGAAAA